CCCCACCCCAGAGCCAGCUGCACCUCAGCACCAGGCGAGAGGUCCCUGUGUAAACAGCCCCCGCGCCCCACCCCAGAGCCAGCUGCACCUCAGCACCGGGGGUGAGGGUUUAGCUUCCCUUCUCUUAUCUGACGCAGGUGGUGGACAAGGAGUGGAGGGGGAGCUGAACCCUACCAGACGGCGCGUGACUGGAGCAGGACUCUGUGAGUGCCCAGGCUGGUUGGGAUCACGGCACCAGCUCGCAGGAGACCUCGGGGUUGGGGCCAGACACAAUGGGCUGUGCCCCUGUGACAGCAUCAUCCCCCAUGGCCAAGACAGGGGGCGUCACCCCCAGGGCUGGGGGAGACGGGGCCAGCACCACAGGCGCAGACAGCAGCAGUGCUGCAAGAUCCCGAGCCGAUGCCGGCAGCCGGGACUGGCGAAAGGGCUACUGCUGCCCCUCUAGCUGCCCGUAGCCAGGAUCCUGAGCGGAGCCAGUGGGGGGCAUCUCGCCUUUCUCCCCAUGUCAUAAACAUACAGCUAAGGGUAGCAUAAAAUCCCUCCUUUACCUGUAAAGGGUUGAUAAGCUCAGGUAACCUGGUUAGCACCUGACCAAAAGGACCAAUAAUGGGAGAAGAUACUUUCAAAUCUGUGGGGGAAGGUUUUUGUUUCGAGCUGUGUUUGUUCUCUUGGGAGACAAAGAGAGAGAACAAGCAAGUAAUCCAGCUCCUACUGAAUGAUUCAUCUAAAAUUACAGGAACAAACAAAUAGCAACGAAAUGCAUUAGAGUAUCUUUUGUUUUAGCUUGUGAAUUUUCCCUAUGCUUAGAGGGAGGUUUAUCCCUGUUUUUUAUAACUUUAAAGUUUUGCCUAGAGGGGAA